UGAUCACCUGUGAUGUGCAUUGGUUCUUC
rnacentral:sRNA from 1 species